GUGUGUGUGUGUGUGGAGGGGGUGGGAGGAGUAAUCUUCUUUAAAGGAUCCUUCAACAGUGACUACACAAGGGAACAACUUGAACCAUUAUGAAGUCUUGCUGAAAGCAGAUGAAGAUUUGACUACAUGUGGUUAUUGUUUUUGUGCUUGAUUGGUCAAACAGAGCCAUGUGAUUAUUUUUGCUACAUCUGAUUGGUGGAACACAGUCACAUGAUGAGCAAGCCAAGGGCGCGGUGAAGGAAAAACUUUCUGAGAUGGCAAUAGGAAGAAACCUUGAGAGGAACCAGACUCAACAAAGAACCCUUCCUCAUUUGGGUGACAAUGGAUAGCAGGCAUUGAUCUGCAGUCAUACUGUAUAUUAGGCAGCUGGAAGUUAAAUAUAACAGAAGAUGUCUUUAAGUUAAUAUGAAGUCUAGUUAGUGGGUCUGUUAUUUAAGUCGUUACUACUGCAUGUUAUUGAUGCGGAGAUUUCUGUAGUGGUCUUAUACAGUAGUUAAUUUUGUUUUAAAAAAAGCUAUUUUUUUAAAAUAAAAAUCUAGGAGUGGAGAGAUAUGUUGAAGAUGCUCUCCUUCCAUGCUGUUUAAUAUACUAACUAUUUAGUUUGAAGCCAUUUACAUUCUAAUUUUUGAGCAGUCUAUUUUAAAGUAGGUUCCCUUAAUGCUGUGUGUGAUCAUUAUGCCAGGAAGCCACAGUUAGUUAUUGAAGGCUUAGGUAGACUGUAGGAAAUUCCAGUCCUAAACAAUUGAGCGACUGCAGUCACAAGUCCUCAGGAAACAGCUUCCUGCAUCAGUUGAGGCCAUGCCCAUCUUCUUGAUAAAGUGGAACCAGUGGAGCCAGUCACCAUACACAUCCCAAGCAGACCACACAAGGCCUCCAUGCAACAUGAUCUCCAACCAGAAGUGGGACACCAGGAUGAGUCAGACAGGUUCAGAGAAAGCAUGUAAAGAGGGAAUAGCAGUGAGCUACAACCGAACCCUGUGAAACACCAAACCUACUUGAGAACGUGCAGAAUAGUUACCAAUUAAUUCUACACACUGAUAAUGAUAAGUCAAACAGGAUCUGAGCCAUGAGAGGGUCGUUUCCUUAAUUUCUUUUACAUUUUCAAAUUCAUGAAGGAGAACAAUGGUAUAUUAUGCUAUGAUCAGUGGUGUCAAAAGCUGCACUAGGUCUAAAUCUGAUCCAUUUUGUGUAUGCUAUUCAUACCGUAUAUAGAUAUGAACAUAGCUAUUGCGCUGUCUUUUCCAGGAUCUUAGAUAUAAAGGAGAGGGCUGAUAUUGGACUGUAGUUAGACAGCUCACAAGUGUCAAGGUCAGGUUUCUUAGAGGUUUAAUAACUGCUAAUAAAAAAAAUUGUGACACUGCUAUAUGGAGAGAUAACUAUUUUUAACAGGGUUCCAUUAAUGCUGCCACUAUUUGCUUGAAAAAAUGUGUUGGAAUAGGAUCUAAUACACAGGUUAAAGAUUUUGCAGACGAGAUAAGUAAAACUAAUUCAUUCUCUUUAACACUCUCUGUUAUUUAAGUUGUUACUACUGCAUGUUAUUGAUGCAGAGAUUUCUGUAGUGGUCUUAUAGUUAAUUUAGCAAAAAAAAAAGCUAUUUUUUAAAAUAAAAAUCUAGGAGUGGAGAGAUAUGUUGAAGAUGCUCUCCUUCCAUACUAUUUAAAAUACUAAAUAUUUAGUUUGAUGCCAUUUACAUUCAAAUUUUUGAGCAGUCUAUUUUAGACGUGUGUGUGAUCAUUUUACCAGAGAGCUACAUUAUCUAAGGUGUAACAGAAUGUUAAGUCUAAAUAUUCAGUGACCUGAUCGAGUUCUGUGGGGUCAGACGGUGAUCCAAUAAAAGUUGAUAACUCUGGGAGAUGACUAUAAGCUCUGUUUGGUUGUUGAUUUAAAUGUACGUUUACUGUAAUGUGGUAACAUACAUUAUGACUAUGACACACUUUAAAUGAGACAAGAUAGUGAUCUGAAAUAACUUCAGACUGUGGAAGUGUCAUUAUAUUUCUUAUACUUAAUUGAAAAGAUAUUGUUCAAUCUAAAGUGCGACCUGCUUCAUGAGUGGCUCUUACUACA